AGUGAACGCUGGCGGUAGGCCUAACACAUGCAAGUCGAACGGCAGCACAGUAAGAGCUUGCUCUUACGGGUGGCGAGUGGCGGACGGGUGAGGAAUACAUCGGAAUCUACUUUUUCGUGGGGGAUAACGUAGGGAAACUUACGCUAAUACCUCAUACGACCUACGGGUGAAAGCAGUGGAUCUUCGGACCUUGCCCGAUUGAAUGAGCCGAUGUCGGAUUAGCUAGUUGGCGGGGUAAAGGCCCACCAAGGCGACGAUCCGUAGCUGGUCUGAGAGGAUGAUCAGCCACACUGGAACUGAGACACGGUCCAGACUCCUACGGGAGGCAGCAGUGGGGAAUAUUGGACAAUGGGCGCAAGCCUGAUCCAGCCAUACCGCGUGGGUGAAGAAGGCCUUCGGGUUGAUAAGCCCUUUUGUUGGGAAAGAAAAGCAGCAGGUUAAUACCCCGCUGUUCUGACGGUACCCAAAGAAUAAGCACCGGCUAACUUCGUG
rnacentral:rRNA from 1 species